CCAAUUGCUGAUCAGGAGAAAUGGAAGGUUUGUGUUUUUCACGUAUCAGAUUACAAAGCGCCUUCUUAGACAACAAAUCUGACAUGUUUGUAUCCUGACAGAGACUUAGUGCUGCUGCAGUCUUCAAUAAAGUGUUUCUCUGUUGAGUGCUGCAAGUCUGGAUGGAGUCCAAGUAAAACAACAAAAACACAAACAGCUGUUUACGCGAGGCUAAGAAACAGGACUUUGCAUGUAAUGUUCCUUGCAAGCUUGAUGAAAAGUCUCGAUUGUGGUGCAUACCUUCUUAAUAUGAGCUGCAGAGUAAACUGUAAACCGUGGGUCAAACAUCAGCAUAAGGAGCUCCAGAGAUCAAACAUAUCUGCUUGAAAAGGUGAAAGGUCACAGAUUUUGGAGGAAUCGACAGACUGAUGGUAAACUACACGCUUCAGUCACUAGCGUCUCUCUCUCUCUGCAUUCCUCUGGUGUUAGGGCUCGUGUCUCUCUCUUUCUCAGGGAGAUUUCACUGGAACGGUCUCCCAACAGCUCUUGGCAGAAGAAGUUCAAUGCAGAGAGCAAACAGGGAAUUCACCUUAAAAGGAGCCAAUCUUGAGUCUCUAUAAACCCACGAGAGCCAAGAGUGUAUAUACAACUGCAAGAAACAGUUUACAGUCACUCCAGCACUUCUUAAAAAGAUACUCCACGUCUGUUUUUCCUGAGUGUGUGUGUGUGUGCGUGAGAGAGAGAGAGACUUUCUUAGAGACCUAUGUGUGUUUUUAUUGUCCUUUUUACAGUCAUAUAUAAUCUAUUGUCUUUUUUACUGUCUGAUGCACUGCUUACACAACAAAACACUCACUGUUGGGCCACCAGACAAGCAUGUGAUGGAUAAAACUUUGAACUCUGUGCGAAAGAUGCAGAAAAGGACUUACCAAAUACGACUGGAUUUGUUGGUUGACGACCAAAGCAUCUCAGAUGUGAUGUAUGUGAUUAUUAGACCUUUUAAAUUAUCCUGAUAUCCUGGGCUUAGCUGGUUUAGCUUGUGCCCAAACUGCUCCAUACACAAACCUAAAGGUGCAAUAACAAAAACAACCUGCUAAAGGGUCAAGAGAGGUCAGGAAAUGGUCAUGAAAAUCAAAAAAAGAUUUUGUUUGUGCAAUGUAUGAUCCUACGUGGCUCAUGCUGACAAUUUAAGAAAGCCUGAAUAUUUUACCUUGGGUUUAAACACAAAUUUAGCAUCACAAAGUACACACGUUGAAAUAAGUUGGAGUUAAAGCACUAUAUUUAAUGCAAAUAAUUUGCCACAGCAGUGUUUGCACUUUACUGGUAGCCAUUCAUGAUAACAUUCAACAUUCAACAUGAAUUUGAAUAUUCAGUAUUGACACAAACCACAAUGACAACAACAACACAAUGACGUUACACUCUUGAUUUAACUUCUAGACUACGUGUAUCAUCCUGAUAAAAAUGGAAAUGUGGUCUUAACCAGGAACAAAUUUAGGUCUUAGGAAUCACGAAACCAUUUUCAGACAGACACGAAACUGCAAUAAGAGGUUCUGAAUAUUUUACACGCAGCUCUGCGGUGCGUCAAACACAGCUGACAGCACUGAGAGAUACAGCGCACAUUAAAAAUGGUGUUUUCAGCGUCUGUAGUCCGACAUGACAGUUUCUGUUAAUAUUAACUAUGUAAAAUGUUCAUAUUCCAAGUUAAAGUUCCAAAGAAAGUUUUGCCAGGAGUAUUCCCCACAUUCACCCAAUAAACUCAUCGCAAACUCAAAUUUGAAAAUGCUCAGUUUUACCCAGAAUAUUUCCCUGAUGUUGUUGCGAAAGAUCCUCUGUCCAAAACAAAUGUUUUUAGCAUUUUUUAUUGUUUUGUAGUGAAUCUUCACAAUCUUCUGAAUGUUUUCAGCACUGAAGUGUGUGUUUGCCAUGGAAUACAAA